AGAGUUUGAUCAUGGCUCAGAUUGAACGCUGGCGGUAUGCCUAACACAUGCAAGUCGAACGGCAGCACGAGAAAGCUUGCUUUCUUGGUGGCGAGUGGCGGACGGGUGAGUAACGCGUAGGAAUCUGCCUGGCAGCGGGGGACAACUCCGGGAAACCGGAGCUAAUACCGCGUACGCCCUACGGGGGAAAGAUGGCCUCUUCUUGAAAGCUGUCACUGCCAGAUGAGCCUGCGUUGGAUUAGCUUGUUGGUGGGGUAAUGGCUCACCAAGGCGACGAUCCAUAGCUGGUCUGAGAGGAUGAUCAGCCACACUGGGACUGAGACACGGCCCAGACUCCUACGGGAGGCAGCAGUGGGGAAUAUUGGACAAUGGGCGAAAGCCUGAUCCAGCAAUACCGCGUGUGUGAAGAAGGCCUUAGGGUCGUAAAGCACUUUCAAUUGGGAAGAAAAGCAUCUGGUUAAUACCCGGGUGUCCUGACGGUACCUUUAGAAGAAGCACCGGCUAACUCCGUGCCAGCAGCCGCGGUAACACGGAGGGUGCAAGCGUUAAUCGGAAUCACUGGGCGUAAAGCGCACGCAGGCGGCCUGUUAAGUCAGAUGUGAAAGCCCCGGGCUCAACCUGGGAACUGCAUUUGAUACUGGCAGGCUAGAGUAUGGGAGAGAGAAGUGGAAUUCCACAUGUAGCGGUGAAAUGCGUAGAUAUGUGGAGGAACAUCAGUGGCGAAGGCGACUUCUUGGCCCAAUACUGACGCUCAGGUGCGAAAGCGUGGGGAGCAAACAGGAUUAGAUACCCUGGUAGUCCACGCCGUAAACGAUGUCUACUAGCCGUUGGGGAGAUUUACUUCUUAGUGGCGCAGCUAACGCAUUAAGUAGACCGCCCUGGGGAGUACGGCCGCAAGGCUAAAACUCAAGAAAUUGACGGGGGCCC
rnacentral:rRNA from 1 species